GCAUAUCAAUAAGCGGAGGAAAAGAAACUAACAAGGAUUCCCCUAGUAACGGCGAGUGAAGAGGGAACAGCCCAAAUUUGUAAUCUGGCCCCUUUGGGGGGUCCGAGUUGUAAUCUCGAGAACUGUUUUCCGCGCUGGACCAUGUACAAGUCUGUUGGAAUAUAGCUUCAUAGAGGGUGAGAAUCCCGUACAUGACAUGGACUACCAGUGCUUUGUGAUACAGUCUCUAAGAGUCGAGUUGUUUGGGAAUGCAGCUCAAAUUGGGUGGUAAAUUCCAUCUAAGGCUAAAUAUUGGCGAGAGACCGAUAGCGAACAAGUACCGUGAGGGAAAGAUGAAAAGCACUUUGGAAAGAGAGUUAACAGUACGUGAAAUUGUUGAAAGGGAAACGCUUGAAGUCAGCCUUGUUCUUGGUUGUUCAGCCUUUGCGGGCGUAUUCAACCUUGAGCAGGCCAGCAUCAGUUUUGGGUGCUGGAUAAGGGCUUAGGAAAUGUGGCAGCCUCGGCUGUGUUAUAGUCCUUUGCUUGAUACAGUGCUCUGGGACUGAGGAAUGCAGCGAGCCUUUUGGCGGGUCCAUUUUUAUGGACCUUCUCGCUUUGGAUGCUGGCGUAAUGGCUUUAAACGACCCGUCU
rnacentral:rRNA from 1 species